rnacentral:rRNA from 1 species
UACGAAGGGGCUAGCGUUGCUCGGAAUCACUGGGCGUAAAGGGUGCGUAGGCGGGUCUUUUAAGUCAGGGGUGAAAUCCUGGAGCUCAACUCCAGAACUGCCUUUGAUACUGAGGAUCUUGAGUUCGGGAGAGGUGAGUGGAACUGCGAGUGUAGAGGUGAAAUUCGUAGAUAUUCGCAAGAACACCAGUGGUGAAGGCGGCUCACUGGCCCGGUACUGACGCUGAGGUGACGA